AUACAAAAAGGUUGUCCACUUGCAAAGCAAAAAACAAACAAAUUACCAUCAAACCAAAAAUACCAUGUCAUUGCAUUCAUCACAUCACACCAUGACAAACAGCUUUGCUACAUUCCACGUUGUGGCGUACAUGCUAGUUAUGCGGUCGGAACGCCGGCCACACAGUUAUAACUAUAAAUAAACAGUUCCUAUCCCACUCUAUCCAAUCAUACACGUGACAACACCUGCAACUUCCCACUCAAAAAGAAAGCAAAAAAGCAGCCUGGUGAGGGCCCAAGACGUGGCACGAGCUGGAAGUCCUAGGCUGUUGCUGGGCCUG